UUCGUGUAAACCGUUUCAAUUUCUUCAGAAAUUCAUUUCAAAUCUGUGAAGUGUAGAACUAUGUUUUUACCGCGAUAUAAAUGUGGAGUUUCAAAAGAACUUUUCACGCCAUCAUCGGGGACAGGUCUAUAUGAGGCGAAAUCGAACAUAAAUAAUCAG